rnacentral:rRNA from 1 species
GAUGAACGCUAGCGGGAGGCUUAACACAUGCAAGUCGAGGGGUAUCAUGCUUUCGGGUGUGAGAGACCGGCGGACGGGUGCGUAACGCGUAUGCAACAUACCUUGUGCAGGGGGAUAGCCCGUGGAAACGCGGAUUAAUAUUCCAUAGAUCAGUAACAUCGCAUGGUGUAACUGGUAAAGUUGAGGCGGCACAAGAUUGGGCAUGCGUCUGAUUAGCUAGUUGGUAGGGUAACGGCCUACCAAGGCGACGAUCAGUAGGGGUUCUGAGAGGAUUAACCCCCACACUGGUACUGAGACACGGACCAGACUCCUACGGGAGGCAG